rnacentral:piRNA from 1 species
UGACAAAGUGCCAAGCAAAUGGAUGUUUUC